rnacentral:lncRNA from 1 species
AUGGCGGGAAUGACGGGGAGGGGGGUCCCAAUCCCAGCCCAGGGGUUCCAAAUCCCAGUCUGUGGGUCCCAAUCCCAACCCAGGGGUCCCAAUCCCAACCCAGGGGUCCCAAUCCCAGUCAAUGGGUCCCAAUCCCAGUCUGUGGGUUCCAAAUCCCAGUCUAUGGGUUCCAAUCCCAGCCCAGGGGUUCCAAAUCCCAGUCUAUGGGUUCCAAUCCCAGUCUAUGGGUUCCAAUCCCAGUCAAUGGGUUCCAAACCCAGUCUAUGGGUUCCAAAUCCCAGUCUAGGGGCCCCAAUCCCAGUCCAGGGGUCCCAAUCCCAGUCUAGGGGUCCCAAUCCCAGUCCAGGGGUCCCAAUCCCAGUCCAGGGGUCCCAAUCCCAGUCUAUCAGUCCAAAUCCCAGUCUAUCAGUCCCAAUCCCAGUCCAGGGGUCCCAAUCCCAGUCUAUGGGUUCCAAUCCCAGUACCCCAUACCCAUUCCCAUUAUCCCAUACCCCAAACCCCAUUACCUGUAGGGUUUCCAGGGUUGAUGAUGCACAGUGCCCGAGGACAGCAGUGUUUCCCAGUACCCCAUACCCAUUCCCAUUAUCCCAUACCCAUUCCCAUACCCCAAACCCCAUUACCUGUGGGAUUCCCGGGGUUGAUGAUGCACAGUGCCCGAGGACAGCAGUGUUUCCCAGUACCCCAUACCCAUUCCCAGUACCCCAUACCCAUUCCCAGUACCCCAUACCCAUUCCCAUACCCCAAACCCCAUUACCUGUGGGGUUUCCGGGGUUGAUGAUGCACAGUGCCCGUGGACAGCAGUGUUUCCCAGUACCCCAUACCCAUUCCCAUUAUCCCAUACCCAUUCCCAGUACCCCAUACCCAUUCCCAUACCCCAUACCCCAUUACCUGUAGGGUUUCCCGGGUUGAUGAUGCACAGUGCCCGAGGACAGCAGUGUUUCCCAGUACCCCGUACCCAUUCCCAGUACCCCAUACCCAUUCCCAUUAUCCCAUACCCCAUUACCUGUAGGGUUUCCGGGGUUGAUGAUGCACAGUGCCCGAGGACAGCAGUGUUUCCCAGUACCCCAUACCCAUUCCCAUUAUCCCAUACCCAUUCCCAUUAUCCCAUACCCCAUUCCCAGUACCCCAUACCCAUUCCCAGUACCCCAUACCCAUUCCCAGUACCCCAUACCCAUUCCCAGUACCCCAUACCCAUUCCCAUACCCAUUAUCCCAUUACCUGUGGGAUUUCCGGGGUUGAUGAUGCACAGUGCCCAUGGACAGCAGUGUUUCCCAGUACCCCGUACCCAUUCCCAUUAUCCCAUACCCCAAACCCCAUUACCUGUGGGGUUUCCCGGGUUGAUGAUGCACAGUGCCCGAGGACAGCAGUGUUUCCCAGUACCCCAUACCCAUUCCCAUUAUCCCAUACCCCAUUACCUGUAGGGUUUCCGGGG